rnacentral:misc_RNA from 3 species
AACGCACAUUGCGCCCUUUGGUAUUCCUUAGGGCAUGCCUGUUCGAGCGUCGCAAAAACCCAGAUCACCUAGAGUGUGGUAUUGGCAGAAGUGGCCGGGGCUAUCAGCGCUGCUGCCACUCUGCUGGAAUGAAUAGGCUGGAAAAGUAGAUCAUAGCAACAGACUUUCACAGUAUUUUGAAAUGCUAAAUUAGUUUGAAGCUGAUCGGAACCUAAGCCAUUUGACCCCCAUCCUGCGUAAAGCAGUAAGGUUGACCUCGGAUCAGGUAGGGAUACCCGCUGAACUUAA